CCCUAGCCCCGAUAGGAACGGCAUCCUUUUUCUUUUUUAACAAAAAAAAGAAAAAGAUACAGUGGAUAGCGGGAAUUGCU
rnacentral:sRNA from 1 species